rnacentral:rRNA from 2 species
UUGAUCCUGGCUCAGGACGAACGCUGGCGGCGUGCCUAACACAUGCAAGUCGAACGGAUUUAGUAGGAAGAGCAAUCAGACUAUUGAAUUAGUGGCGGAUGGGCGAGUAACGCGUGAGCAACCUGCCUUGUACAGGGGGAUAACGUCGGGAAACCGGCGCUAAUACCGCAUAAUACUACGGGAUCGCAUGGUUCUGUAGUCAAAACUCCGGUGGUACAAGAUGGGCUCGCGUCCAAUUAGCUAGUUGGUGAGGUAAAGGCCCACCAAGGCGACGAUUGGUAGCCGAACUGAGAGGUUGAUCGGCCGCAUUGGGACUGAGACACGGCCCAGACCCCUACGGGAGGCAGCAGUGGGGAAUAUUGGGCAAUGGGGGGAACCCUGACCCAGCAACGCCGCGUGAAUGAAGAAGGCCUUCGGGUUGUAAAAUUCCUGUCCUAUGGUGAAGAAAAGAAAUGACGGUAGCAUAGGAGGAAGCCCCGGCUAACUACGUGCCAGCAGCCGCGGUAAAACGUAGGGGGCGAGCGUUGUCCGGAAUUACUGGGCGUAAAGGGUGCGUAGGCGGCUUGAUAAGUCAUGUGUGAAAUACCACUGCUCAACGGAGGGAUUGCAUGUGAAACUGUUAAGCUUGAGUGAAGGAGAGGCAAGCGGAAUUCCUAGUGUAGCGGUGAAAUGCGUAGAUAUUAGGAGGAACACCAGUGGCGAAGGCGGCUUGCUGGACUUUAACUGACGCUGAGGCACGAAAGCGUGGGGAGCAAACAGGAUUAGAUACCCUGGUAGUCCACGCCGUAAACGAUGGAUACUAGGUGUAGGGGGCUAAGCCUUCUGUGCCGGAGUUAACGCAAUAAGUAUCCCGCCUGGGGAGUACGGCCGCAAGGCUGAAACUCAAAGGAAUUGACGGGGGCCCGCACAAGCAGCGGAGCAUGUGGUUUAAUUCGAAGCAACGCGAAGAACCUUACCAAGGCUUGACAUCCCUCGAAUUAUGUGGAAACACCAUAAGGCCUUCCGGGACGAGGAGACAGGUGGGUGCAUGGUUGUUCGUCAGCUCGUGUCGUGAGAUGUUGGGUUGAGUCCCGCAACGAGCGCAACCCCUAUUCUCAGUUACCAGCAUGUAAAGAUGGGGACUCUGGGAAGACUGCCGGGGACAACUCGGAGGAAGGUGGGGACGACGUCAAAUCAUCAUGCCCCUUAUGUCUUGGGCUACACACGUGCUACAAUGGCCGUUACAAAGGGCAGCGAAAGCGCAAGCUGGAGCGAAACCCAAAAAGGCGGUCUCAGUUCGGAUUGUGGGCUGCAACCCGCCCACAUGAAGUCGGAGUUGCUAGUAAUCGCGAAUCAGAAUGUCGCGGUGAAUGCGUUCCCGGGCCUUGUACACACCGCCCGUCACACCAUGGGAG